CGUAGCCGCGGGAAAACGGAGGGAGCUAGCGUUGUUCGGAAUUACUGGGCGUAAAGCGCGCGUAGGCGGUUACUCAAGUCAGAGGUGAAAGCCCGGGGCUCAACCCCGGAACUGCCUUUGAAACUAGGUGACUAGAAUCUUGGAGAGGUCAGUGGAAUUCCGAGUGUAGAGGUGAAAUUCGUAGAUAUUCGGAAGAACACCAGUGGCGAAGGCGACUGACUGGACAAGUAUUGACGCUGAGGUGCGAAAGCGUGGGGAGCAAACAGGAUUAGAGACCCCGGUAGUCCCUGUCUCUUAUACA
rnacentral:rRNA from 1 species